rnacentral:lncRNA from 1 species
AUCACUAUGCUUCCUACACAGCCUGCAGAACCUUCUCUUGCCUGCCACCAUGUAAGAUAUGCUUUUACUCUUCCGCCUUCCACCGUGACUGUGAGGCCUCCCCAGCCAUGUGAAACUGCCUUUGAGCUUAUACUGAAUUAUACCACCAGCUUUCCUAGGUCUUGAAGCUUACAGACAGCAGAUCUUGGGACUUCUCAGGCACCAUAAUCAAUCAUAGAUAAAUGAUCCAAUGAUUCGGAACUUGAAAAGUGGUAGCUUUAUGAAUUCUCCUUAAGAAGAAACCUGUGCCCUGAUCUUGCCUACUCACCCAAAGGCACUGUGAGAAACACAGGAAAACCACAUUCCCAACACUUCUUUGAAGUCAGUUUGCAGGCCAUGCAACCAAGUUCUGGACAAUGGAAUAUAAAGAAAAAUAGCAUCAAAGGAACAGCUAGUAAGAGACACAGAGCCAGAAAUCAGGGAAGUAAAAUACACUUGACAUCUACGUUCGGAAAGAAAUUUUAGGAGGCAGAAGCAAAUGGAUCAGAAGCUGCUUAUAUUUUUGCAAGAUUACCAAAGAAACCAUUGGUGGAGAAAGUUCUGUGACCAACUUGUCUGAGUCUAGUAAGAUUGAACGCUCACACACAAGUUUCAUGAAGUGGGUUUGAUACUUACAGAUAAGCAGCAAGGACCAACAGAAGCUGAUGAUCUAUGGUGAACUUUUUCCCAAGGCUCCGGAAAGCUGCCUAAAGUAGAUGGAGUCUUCUCUGUGUGUGCCCCACUGGUCCUGCAGUUGAAGGAUCCGGUAAAGCAGCCUGCCCUUGGUUUUAUACUCCAGAGGAACGUGAUUCGCUGGACUAAAGCAUUGAAGUGCAUCCUGUUUCCGGGGGGCACUGGAACAGAGCCUGGUCUGUUCUAGCCAGUCCCUUUCUAUCUCAGGAUAACAUUCUACAGUUAUUCUUGAGAACUAUAAUCAAAUAAGCAGGGAGAACUGGAGGCUCAUUGUGGAACCCUCAAGGAGCAUGGGGUCGUCUUCAUCCCUCAGUUUAUAAAUGGCCAAGGAGAGUAAUGCAACAAAAACUUCUCAGAGUUAAAAGCCAGAGUUCCUAAAGAACCGUGGACAAAGGGUUCUGUCUAGUGGGCAGAAUUCAUCCAGCGAAGGUCUCCUAACUACAGAGGGUCACAUCUGGAUCUGAUGGCACCUACAGAACUUGGACUCUGAGCGACAAUCAGUGACCAGGAAAUUUGGAACCCAGGUUUUCCCAACCUACAUCUACAAAAUGGAAUGGGUCUGAUUCGCAAGUUUUCAGAGAAAGAAGCCAACCUUAAUCAGACUGUGAUAUGAUGAGGAAAUAAAACUUGCUGUGCUAAUCAA